AAAAGGUAAAAGGUUACUGCUGCUCCACCAGAUCUGAUAUCUCAUCAUUGGAUAAUCCAGGUUAUUUGCAGUUUUUAUUAUGUGACAGUGCCAUGAGCAACAAUCUUGCAGCUAAAUCACUCUGCAGAGCCUUAAUUAUGUCCUGAGAAUAAAUUCUUAGAAUUGCUGAGGAAAAUGAAAGGCGUGUUAAGGCUUCAGAUAAACAUUAUCAAACUGCUUUCCGGUGGAAGCGUUCACCCCACAGGGAACGAAGAUCGUUUCUAUCUGAUGCUCAGCAAUUGUGAGUAUUUCUAUGUCUUUGUGCCACUGACAAGCUGAUGACUGACAAAUUCUAUUCUUUUUUCUUGGAUUAUUAAUGAGUUAAAACAUUUGAAUAUUUACCGUCUACCAGAUUUUCUCUUUAAUAAAAUACUCAUGUUCUUUCCCCAUUUUUCUCUGCUGCUGAGCGUCUCUUUCAUGUGGAUUAAGACCACGUUAUAUAGCUAUGCUCUGUCAGUAACUAUCCAUUAUUGCAAGUGUCCUGUUUGUCAUUUACUUAUUAACUUCAUGGUGGCUGUGGACACAAAAACCUUGGAUUACCUGUAGUCGUAUUAUGACCCCUGCCAAGUGGAGAGAGGCCUAUCUCCUCUGCAUCACAGUCACGUGUUCUUUUUUUUUAAUAUUAAAUAAAUGGAUACAAAUAUUGGCAGAUGGUAUCAGCAGGGAAUCAAACUGUAUUUUCCCAGUGGUUGAUCCUUUCCUCACCUUCUAAGUUUCUCCCCUCAUAUUCUAUGCUCAUUUAGGUCAGUCUGCUUCCUGGACUCUGUAGAGUGUUCCAUACGGCACAAACUUACUUUAACUUUACGGUAGUCUUACAUUUAUUUGAUCCAUACUGCUCUUUUAAAAAGAGAAAAUUUACUCUUCCAGCUUAAUUUUAGAGUAACUGGGCCAAGCCAAUGCUUCCUGCCAAGAGCACGUCAGUCCUGCAGGGAGCCGCAGUCCACGCACUUAGCUUGGCAAGACAAUGGCUACAGGCAAGGUUCUCCGGUUCUCCAUGAAGGUGCUGUUCUGUCUGCUUCCUACGGAAUCUAUUCUUGUUCCUUUAUGUUGUCACGAUUAUUUUUACUGAUCCUGAGGUCAUCAGGAUGGAUGAACUGUUCUCAAAAAGAGUCCCAGCCCCACGGAGACCAUGCUCUGUUUCCCACAAAGGCUCAGGGGUUCCAGUGGCAGCAAGAUUUACUGCAAUGAUCAGGACGGUCUCUGAAAACAAAGAAUCCCAGCCAAUUUUCAAGUGUCCUGUCGGAAUUCAUGUAGGUGAAAAACUUGUUUAUAACUACAAGAGCUCAACCUAAGUCCACUUUAUUGACAAACUACAGAUUUCGGCAUUGUUAUAAAGCAAGAUUGCUCCUGCAGACAGGGUGUGUCUUCCGUCUGAGCACAGGAAGGAAUUAAGGGAUUACACUCAACCCCCAGUUCUCCUUGCAGAGCAAGGGUCCCCGAGUCUUCAGCAUCGCACAGUGUUUCAGCACAAACCAAUAAUUUUUAUGGCAAUUUUAAUAUUCAGUGACUUUUACAAGAUGUUACUACCAUAUAAAUAAAGGAAAUCUUAUACAGUCAAUCCUCACUAUUUGUAGUAAUUAUAUUCUAUAAAGUUGCCACAGAUACUAAACCAUUGCUCCUACGGGGAACAUGUGUACACACGUACCCACACCCCCCCCCCCACAUGGGUUGUAACCUUAAAUCCCCCAAACAACUCAUCCUCGGAGGUUCCAUCUUAUUUUACAAAAGAGAAAACAGGAGUUCAGAAGUGUUAAGUGACUCGCCUGAGGCCACCCCCAACAGGUGCAGGGUUAGGGGCCAGCUGCCCAAACGGCCCCGGGGCCAGUGUCUGGCUCUACACUGCGCUGCCCCCUGCUGUCUCCGUUUCCUCAGGAGGGGGUCACCUGUGCGACCUCAAAUAGGGACAUACCUCCGGGCAACUCAGGUCUGUGAUAAGGAAGCGCUGCCAGUAUUGAUUUGGGAGUACAGAGAAGUUUUAGGGAGCAGGCGAGCUGCAAAUCUGGAAACUAAACAAACAGGAUUGACCGUACUGUUUUAUUUGAAACCUUUGAAAAAAAUGACAUCAUUGGCAGCAACGCUGCUCACGCUUCUUGACACGUUAACAUAAUACAGCUGCCCCGGCAGCCUGUGCGGCACGCACACGGGUGCUUCGGGCUGCCUCCUGGUGUCCUGCUCAAGCAUCUACGUACUGAAGGACGGAUUUUAUUUCAUCUCCGUUACAUUUACUGCUCCGUUACCUUGGAGCUAGGUCAUUAUGUUGACCAAAACCAAUGCGUGAGGUAUACAGUCUAUGAAUUUCACCAGGUUACUGAAGAGGGAGUACGAAAUGUUUUAUCGUAAAAAAGGGAAAAGUGGUACUAAUGUAGAUAACGUCAUCGGCAAAUUCUGAAAAAGACUUCUUCCCUUCCAAUACCCAGGGUUCUAAUUUCUUUAUCCUUCAUGACGGCGUCACCCAGAAUUCUAAGAAUGCUGCUGAAGUACAACGGUGCUGGCCAGCAUCCCUAUCCUGAGGUUUCAACAGUGAAUCGCGUUCAAGAUCUUCUAGACCUAGUCUAUCAGUAGUUACAUCUGGAAUGAAGGUGAAAUUUUGUCAAGUCUUUCUGAUAUCCACCGCAGCAAUCAAAUCGCUUUUCUUCUUUCAUCUGCUGCUGUGGUGAAUAUAUAUUAAUACAGUUUUCGAUCUUCAAAUAAACCCUGUUUGCUCAGUUAUUAUCUUUCUGAGGCAUUGCCAGAUUCAAGACACUCAUACCUUACGUCGACGUUGUUCUUCUCUGUAAAUGAGACUGAUCUAGAAACUUUCUUGUUUUAUCAAACUCCUGUAUAAGGGUUAUGCUUCUUUCAAUAAUGAACCAAGAAGUAUUUUCUUCUUUUAAUGCUCAAGGACCUGUUCCUUGAAGGUUUGAUAAAACUCACCUGUAAAAACCACCUUGUGAAGGGACAGUUCUUUGAUAACUUUUAAUUCCUUCCACUGGUAACUGGUCUAUUCAGGCUUUCCUCUUCAGUCAAUUUUGAUAAUUUAUAUUUGCCUAUAAAAUGAUCCAUUCCAUCAAGAUGUUCAAUUUAUUAGCACAGAGUAAACUCAGAAUUAAAAUAAAAACUGCCUUAGUA